rnacentral:rRNA from 1 species
GUACACACCGCCCGUCACACCAUGAGAGUUAGGAAUACCCGAAGCCUGUGAGCCAACUUUUCAAGAGGCAGCAGUCGAAGGUAGAACUAAUGAUUGGGGUGAAGUCGUAACAAGGUACC